AUUGAACGCUGGCGGCAGGCCUAACACAUGCAAGUCGAACGAGUGGCGGACGGGUGAGUAAUGUCUGGGAAACUGCCCGAUGGCGGGGGAUAACUACUGGAAACGGUAACUAAUACCGCAUACCAUCGGAUGUGCCCAGAUGGGCUUGGCUUGUAGGUGGGGUAACGGCUCACCUAGGCGACGAUCCCUAGCUGGUCUGAGAGGAUGACCAGCGACGCUGGAACGGAGACACGGUCCAGACUCGUACGGGAGGCAGCAGUGGGGAAUAUUGCACAAUGGGCGCAAGCCGGAGGCAGCCAUGCCGCUUGUAUAAAUAAGGCCUUCGGGUUGUAAAUUACUUUCAGCGAGGAGGCGUUACUCGCAGAAGAAGCACCGGCUAACUCCGUGCCAGCAGCCGCGGUAAUAC
rnacentral:rRNA from 1 species